rnacentral:rRNA from 1 species
GACGAACGCUGGCGGCGUGCUUAACACAUGCAAGUCGAACGGAAAGGCCCUGCUUUUGUGGGGUGCUCGAGUGGCGAACGGGUGAGUAACACGUGAGUAACCUGCCCUUGACUUUGGGAUAACUUCAGGAAACUGGGGCUAAUACCGGAUAGGAGCUCCUGCUGCAUGGUGGGGGUUGGAAAGUUUCGGCGGUUGGGGAUGGACUCGCGGCUUAUCAGCUUGUUGGAGGGGUAGUGGCUUACCAAGGCUUUGACGGGUAGCCGGCCUGAGAGGGUGACCGGCCACAUUGGGACUGAGAUACGGCCCAGGCUCCUACGGGAGGCAGCAGUGGGGAAUAUUGCACAAUGGGCGGAAGCCUGAUGCAGCAACGCCGCGUGCGGGAUGACGGCCUUCGGGUUGUAAACCGCUUUCGCCUGUGACGAAGCGUGAGUGACGGUAAUGGGUAAAGAAGCACCGGCUAACUACGUG